UGUGGGCUAACGCAGUGGGGGCUUUCCCACAUUACUGCAUUGGAGCUAUACAAAGGAAUUGGGCUAACUUUUAGUUCUGAUUUUCGGUCUCUUUUAAGGACCCCUUGCCCUCUUGGUGUACUUAUAAUUUCGGUUGAGCAGUUUUAAUAAUACUUUUCUUCUUAUAAAAAAAUAUUGUAGAAGACAUAAUCUUCUUUAAGUUUCUGGAAUUAAGAUAUUAAACUAACUUAGGAUAGCAUUUAUAAACUGUCCUCAACAACCAGUUGCUCCCCAGCCUCAUGUUAUAAGUCUUAUAACCAGUGAAAUACCAACCAAACUUACUCCAAAGUCCAAAACAAAAAUAUUCUGAAGAGAAGAAGAGAAAAUGAAGGGUAACCAGUGCUUGUCAAUUCUCUACUUGUUUCUUUUCUUAGCAAGUUUUUAUGUCACAUUUUUAGUCAGCUCAGUUGAGGCUAGGAAGAGCAGUGCUCUAAGUCAUAAGAAACAUCAUAAACAAAAACACGGCAAAGGAAAAUCUGGACGUUAUUGUCCACCCCCAGCUACACCAACACCAACACCAACACCAACUACACCUCCUUCAGGUUCGACUUACCCAGUAAUGUCAAAUAACUUUAAUGUCCUUUCCUUCGGGGCCAAAGGCAAUGGAGCUACUGAUGAUUCCAAGGCAUUGCUAGAAGCAUGGGAAGCUGCAUGCAAAGUCCAAGGGGCAACAGUAGAAAUUCCUUCAGGAUACAAGUUCUUUAUUAAACCAAUAACCCUCCAAGGGCCUUGUAUGCCACACCUUGUUCUUCAGAUAGAUGGGACGGUAUUAGCUCCCCCAAAAGUAAGUUCCUGGCCAGAGUCUGGUCUUUUUCAAUGGAUUAAUUUCAAAUGGGUGCAAAACUUCACCAUCCAAGGCAGUGGAACUGUUGAUGGCCAGGGCUCGGAAUGGUGGGUUUCCUCUCAGUCCACUACAAAUAAGAAGAGUUAUCAGCCUGCAAAAAUUCCAAAUAUGAAACCAAGUGCAUUAAGAUUCUACGGCAGCAAUAGCAUAACAGUUCGUGAUAUUACAAUAACAAACAGUCCAUUGUGCCAUCUGAAAUUCGAUAAUUCUAUCGGUGUUCAGGUCCAUAAUGUUACCAUUUCAUCUCCAGAAGAUAGUCCUAAUACUGAUGGCAUUCAUCUCCAGAACAGUAGAGAUGUUGAAAUACAUCACUCCAAUAUUGGCUGUGGAGAUGACUGUGUAUCCAUUCAAACUGGUUGCUCUAACAUUCAUCUACACCACAUAACCUGCGGUCCUGGUCAUGGUAUAAGUUUGGGAGGAUUAGGAAAAGAUAGAAGUGUCGCUUGUGUCUCAGAUAUCGUCGUUGAGAACAUCAUCAUGCAAAACACGUUGUUUGGAGCGAGGAUCAAGACAUGGCCGGGUGGUAUUGGAUCAGUGAAGAACGUAUCAUUUUCCAACAUACAACUCAAUGACUUUUUCACAAUGUCGCAAUCACAGUCCUAUGUUAUGAUGCCAAGGUUUCCGUACAACGUUGAUUCCUUGUCAGAAAAUCCGGAAUUAUACAGAUCAUUCUGCGAGCAAGUUCCUUUCAGGUUAUGCGAGUAAGUUAUUUAUCAGUCUAUGACUUGGAGGAUCACGUGUGUUCUUUGCAUGGCUCUUUGUCAAUAAAAAGCUCAAUGAAUAUUCACAAUCUCGCCGCCCAACAACAUAUGCAGAGUAUUCUUCAAGUGGUGGAUACUGGAAACGGAAGCCUGACUUAGUAUCUUUCCAAGAUGGUGGAUGAGGUACCUAGUACCUUCAGUUGUUUGUUUCCAACAAAUCAUCCCAUGAACAUUUCUUAUGAAGAUGCAACAAAGAAUUCCAUGAAUGUUUCUUUCGAAGAUCUAUCAAAAAGAGAGACACCCGUAUUUCGGCACGAAUGUCAGUGUAAUGCUCUUAGGUAAGCAGCUAUUUAUAUUGUAUAUUUUCCAGAUACAACACUAAUGAAGACGGAUCAUAAACCCCAAGUGAGCUUUUGCAAGGCAACCAAAAGAAAUAUACGACUGAAGACACUCAAGACAGUACUAAUUUUGGAGUCUAAGAUGGCGGUUCAGACGUGAGUUUCGGUCAUCUCUGCUUCUGGCUGAUGCGCUAGUUUGAUUGAGAUUGUUUCUGCUAUUGUGUAGGAGAUGGGGCCAGAAUAUUGUGUUUAGAUGACUGUGUUCUGCCCCUGCAACACACAGAGUAUAUUUUCGGGUGAGUAGUUGUAGACAUGGUUAUUGGACGGGUUGGGUACGGCCAGAUUAUAUUUCCGGAUUCUCCACAUACUCACCUGAGCUCUUGCAAGGCAACCAAAAGGUCAGCCCGUUGUGCUCGUACCAAAUUUCUAACAUGACAUCAAUACAUGCACAACCUAUGGCCAUCGACAUGCUCAUGCCAUGUUGGGUUUACAGCAAGCUUGUUUCAUGUAGUACCAACUUCGUUUCCAAGCCCGUAUGCUGACCAGACCCCUGCACUUCUACAUUUGAUUAUUAAUAUCUUACAAAAUAAAUUAUGAGUUAUCCUUGAGGUUUGAAAUAACACAAGUAAUGUGUUUGUUGUUCGUCCUUCUUCCUAACAAAUGUUCAUUGUAUUUGGUGUUCAUCGUGGUGACUCGUGAGAUAUAUAUCCGUCCAUAUUAACCAGAAAUUACUUAAUUUUAUCAUUAAAGAAUUACUGUAACAUUGUAGUAAGUGAUU